rnacentral:rRNA from 1 species
UACGAGGGGGGCAAAUGUUGUUCGGAAUCACUGGGCGUAAAGAGCUCGUAGGCGGUUUGUCGCGUCUGCUGUGAAAACUCGGGGCUUAACUCCGGGCCUGCAGUGGGUACGGGCAGACUAGAGUGCGGUAGGGGAGACUGGAAUUCCUGGUGUAGCGGUGAAAUGCGCAGAUAUCAGGAGGAACACCGGUGGCGAAGGCAGAUCUCUGGGACGUUACUGACGCUGAGACGCGAAAGCGUGGGGAGCAAACGGG